UAUUCUCAGUACCUUGAGUUCACAGAACUGUUCUGUCCCUUAUUGCUGACAUCACCUGGAUACAGGCAUGGCAUCCUGCUGUUCCUUCUUCUCUAGAUCUGUCCUUUGCAGGAUGUCUUCAGACUCCAGCCUCUCAGCCCUCGUCAUUUGACAUGUCUUGAAGCAACUGGGAGAGAAAAAACCUGGGUUUAAACUUUCUGCCCUGAAAAGGAAAGGAGAUACUGCAUCGUUGUGUCACCAUGGUAACCAACAUCAGCCAGGCAGCAGGAUGAGGAUUGCUUGAUGGUAGAGCACUGGAAACAUGGCAGUCCUACCUUUUCUUUACAUGUUUUGAAGCAACAAUAAAUGACUGACAGG